rnacentral:rRNA from 1 species
GACGAACGCUGGCGGCGUGCUUAACACAUGCCAGUCGAACGGUGAAGCGCCUUCCUUUUUGGUGGGUGUGGAUGAGUGGCGAACGGGUGAGUAACACGUGAGUAACCUGCCCCCUUCUUCUGGAUAACCGCAUGAAAGUGUGGCUAAUACGGGAUAUUCUGGGUCUGUCGCAUGAUGGGUCUGGGAAAGAUAUUGUUUCGUUGGGGGAUGGGCUCGCGGCCUAUCAGCUUGUUGGUGGGGUGAUGGCCUACCAAGGCGGUGACGGGUAGCCGGCCUGAGAGGGUGGACGGUCACACUGGGACUGAGACACGGCCCAGACUCCUACGGGAGGCAGCAGUGGGGAAUAUUGCACAAUGGGCGUAAGCCUGAUGCAGCGACGCCGCGUGAGGGAUGGAGGCCUUCGGGUUGUGAACCUCUUUCGCCAGUGAAGCAGGCCUGCCUCGUUUGUGGGUGGGUUGACGGUAGCUGGAGAAGAAGCGCCGGCUAACUACGUG